CUCAUGGUUCCUACUGAGAACAGACCCCCUUGGCUGGUGUUUGGCCAAGAGUGGUCAAAUGGACAGAACUUUGGAUUUAUGCCCAGUAUGAGUGUGGCACAUCACAGAGACACCAGUUGUUCACUGGACAACCACAUCUUGCUUCAGUCUCUGCCUUGGCUGUGCAUGCAACAGACUUUGUGAUGUUUCCACUCCCUAACGUGUAACUGCCCAUGUCUGUUUUAGACUGCCUUUCCUCUUCAAUCAUAUCUUACUUUUAUUUUGAAGUCAUUCAAUUCACAGGAAGUUGCAAACUCAGGACAGAUACUUGUACCCUGCACCCAAUUUCUCCAAUGGUUCCAUGAUAUGUCCAUUACAAGAUCCAAACCAAGAAGCUAACACUAGCACAAUGCGAGGGUAGGGUUUGAUGUUGUUUUGUCACCUGUAGAUUCGUGGAGCCACCAGCACAACCAACAUAGCGAUCCAUCUAUCACCUCAUGCUGUGCCUUACUGUCACACCCACCGCUCUCCCCAACAUCACCCUCCAACCUGGGCAACCGCUGGUUUGUUCAUCUUUACCACUGUGUCAUUUUCAGAAUGUUUUAUGUGACAUCACCUGACUUUCUUUUCCUGACCUGCGGGUCACAUGAGAGGAAGGAAGGGAAAGGCUGGAGGAAAGAGGUCACUGCCCACAUGCAGCUGUCCUCCGUCCAGGGGUUGCAAAGCUGAAGAGGGAUCCUUGGAUCAGGCUGCAUGGCCAGUAUGACCGUGGAACUCCUUCCUUCCUUUGCUUUGGAAAGAAGUGAAUUCAACUCAUGUUUUGGAGCCUCCUCUCCUGCGCACGUGGGUUGUGGUGCCUGGGCCCGAUUUCCUUAUCCAUACAACGAGGACAGUUAUGCCCGUCUGCAGGGCUGUCACAGUGAUUAGAGACUGCGUGCUCAUAGGAAGAUUACUGCUAUUUCCAUGGGGGAAUGAAUCCUAUCGUGCCCUCCCCCUGGCUCAGGAGCUAUUUCUACUGGAAACCCAUCACAUAGGACUGUCCGUCGUCUGUCAGCAAAGAAAGCAUGUCCCUCCUGUCUUCUGUCCUUGAGAGAACGUGUGACCCUGUGAUCAGGCUUCGAGGCAGCCCCAGUGAGAUUCUACAAUGGUCUACAAAAGACUUCUACAAUGGUCCCCUCUGAUCACUGUGGAGGUGCUGUGCAGAGUGAACCUGAGUUCUGUGGCCUGGGUCAGUGUGAUGAGAAGCCACGCGGUCAAGCCUGUGUCCAACCAACAUGUUCUUCCUAAUCAUAUUGGGUGAAACCCUGGAGUCUCAGAGAGAUAUACCCCAAUCGGGAAGCAGGGAGAGGGUCCCCGUCCCUACCAGCAGCAUCCGUGGCAGUGAGUGAGGGCAGGCGUUGGGGAGGCAGGAACUGAAGAGCUCUGAAGGUUUCAGAACCUGCGUGGUCCUCAGUCAAGAGACGGCAGGUGGAGGGCACUGAGUUCUAGCAGAAAUUCACUUGAUGACUACAUGAUGCUUGCUGAUAUGUUUUCUUCACUAAGUUUAAUUUACAGGGUAAGCUGGACUCUCACACUUGAGUGCCUCCCUCUACUCUGAUCUUCCAACAGCUAUGGGCAGCUUAAGGUCCUUUCACAUUCUGUGACUCCAGACAUCCCACUCGCUCCCAUAGGAAAUCUCAUCUCCACCACUAAAUCUGCUCACACUGUGUGCGGUCUGACCAUGGUCUUCUGCCUUCUGCCCAGUUUCAGCAACAUCAGAAGUGGCACAUGCCCUCCUGCCACAGUACGGCCCAUCACAAUGGGGACGGAUCUGUUCUGGGGCUCUGCCCUCUCUGCAGGGACUGGGCAGGAGGGACAAGGGUCCAGGCCCCUGGUGCUUUGAUGCACAGGGACCAGGCUCUGUCUAGACGUGGGGGUCAUGCUGCUUCCGAUGUGCAACUUCUGAGGCGUCCACAGGUCUCUGCUCUCUCUACAUGUUUCUUUCCUCCAUUUUUUGUGUUCCUCUGACUUUGCAACAGCAGUCCUUAGCAUGCCUUGGCAUACGCCCACUAUCUUCCACUUUCUCAGACUUUUCUUUCUUUCUUUAAUAAAAAACCGUUUUUAAUGUUUAUUUUUGAGAGAGAGAGAGAGAGAGAGGGAGAGAGAGAGAGAGAGAGAGAGAGAGAGAGAGAGGGAGAAAAGGCGCAAGCAGGGGAGGGAGGGGCAGAGAGAGAGAGAGACAGAAUCUGAAGCACACUCCAGGCCCUGAGCUGUCAGCACAGUGCCUGACGCGGGGCUCGAACUCACAAACUGUGAGUUCAAACUCAAACUCAUGACCUGAGCCCAAGUCGGCUUAACCGACUGAGCCACCCAGGCACCCCUGCUUUUCUUGAUGCGUGCACGUGUUUGCACCUAAAAGUCCUAUCAACUUCUCACUUUCCCCCAGAAACACCAAACCGUUUUUCCAUACGGGAGAAGGAAAUUUCUCUUCUUAGAAAUGCAUGUCUAACUAAACUCCUUGUGAACGUAAAAUCUUUAUUACAGUAAUAUUCAUGUACAGGCAUGAUGUCAAUUUCCAGGAGCUCUUAGCACUCAGGCAAAAGUACGUACCCACACAGACACUCCGCAAAUCACACUAUGACCGUUCUCUAUCCCAAAGUGCACUUAAUCUAGCCAUUUCUUCUACAGCCCCUGAUACAUUUUUUUUUAAAUUUUUUUUAACGUUUAUUUAUUUUUGAGACAGGGAGAGACAGAGCAUGAACAGGGGAGGGUCAGAGAGAGGGAGACACAGAAUAUGAAGUAGGCUCCAGGCUCUGAGCUGUCAGCACAGAGCCCGACGCGGGGCUAGAACUCACGGACCACAAGAUCAUGACCCGAGCCGAAGUCGGCCGCCUAACCGACUGAGCCACCCAGGCGCCCCCCCGAUACAUUUUCUAGAUUGCUCCAGCGGGGCAAUAACCAUGAGGCAGUCUGGGGAAGCCUGGUGACUGAGUCUAACUCUAGCCAAGUGCUGCCAGUAUCUAAGGAAGUCUGUCAUAAACUGACUGGGAACCUUGUUCCACACAAUAGCUUGUAUCUCAUGGGUGAUUCUUUUACAGGGUUGUGUGUCUGGCCAAAGAGACACAAUAGAUGGCGAUUAUUUUUCCUACUUGUUCUUUCAUCCCAAAUUCCCUAUCCUUUCCAUGUCCUUCUUUAAAUUUUUUUUUUUUUACAUUUAUUUAUUUUUGAGAGACAGAGUGAGACAAAGUGAGAGUGCGGGAGGGGCAGAGAGAGAGGGAGACACAGGAUCAGAAUCAGGCUCCAGGCUCCAAGCUGUCAGCACAGAGCCCGACGUGAGGCUCGAACCCACAGACCGUGAGAUCAUGACCUGAGCUGAAGUCAGACGCUCAACCGACCGAGCCACCCAGGCGCCCCAGAAAUAUAUUAUUUUUAA